rnacentral:rRNA from 1 species
CAAUAGCGUAUAUUUAAGUUGUUGCAGUUAAAAAGCUCGUAGUUGGAUUUCUGCUGAUCGCUGUCGGUCUGCCGUCAGGUGUGUACUGGCAGUGUUUGGCAUCUAUUCGAGAUUGGGUGUCCACUUGAUUGUGUGCACUCGAUGUCGGAGCUAAUACUUUGAGAAAAUUAGAGUGCUCCACGCAGGCGCGUGCCUUGAAUACUGCAGCAUGGGAUAUUGGAAGGCCGAUUGAGCUUUCUUGUUGGUUCUCGGUUUGAUCGGAAUGAUUAAUAGGGAUAGUUGGGGGCAUUCGUAUUCAACUGUCAGAGGUGAAAUUCUUGGAUUUGUUGAAGACGGACUACUGCGAAAGCAUCUGCCAUGGAUGUUCUCAUUGA